rnacentral:rRNA from 1 species
GACGUAGGAUGCAAGCGUUGUCCGGAAUUAUUGGGCGUAAAGAGUUCGUAGGCGGUUGCCUAAGUCUGAUGUUAAAUACUGGAGCUCAACUCCGGCAUGGCAUUGGAAACUGGGCGGCUAGAGUGUGGUAGAGGUCUCGGGAAUUCCAGGUGUAGCGGUGAAAUGCGUAGAUAUCUGGAGGAACACCGGUGGCGAAGGCGGCAUCCUGGACCAAUUCUGACGCUGAGGAGCGAAAGCCAGGGGAGCAAACGGG